UGGACCAAAAUGCUGUGGUGCAUUAGCGCAAACCGAUAACGGGGUCCCUAAUAGGUUACACCCUACUAUUCUGUAUCAAUCUCGUUAUCAGAAGCUGGAAGUUCCACAACAGCUAUCAGCUUUGCAUCGAAGGAAUCCAAAGUAGAUAAUAAAGAGCCCCUAUCAUUGAGUGGAUUUCUUGACAAAGCAUCAGCGUUGAAAUUCACUUUUUCAGGCUUAUACACAAUCACGUAAUCUUACUCAAUCAGCUUGACUCGCCAUCUAGCCAACCUUGAGACAGGAUCCUUAAUGCUAUGCAACAAAAAUAGAGGCCUAUGGUCAGUAACGAGGACAAAUUUGUGACCAUAUAUGUAAGGUCGGAAAUACUUGACGCAGAAGACAAUAGCAAGAAGGUCUUUCUCUAUUGUAGAAUAAUUUAUCUCUGCUCCUUGAAAUGUCCUUGAGGCAAAAGCGAUUGACAAGUCCUGACCAAUCUUACCCUGACUCAGGACACCUCCAAGAGCAUAAUUUGAAACGUCUGUUGUCAAUACAAAUGGUUUUGAAAAGUUAAGAUACUGUAACAAAGGUUCGGAACAGAUCUUAUCACGCAGGAACUCAAAAGUUUCCUUUUCUACAGAAGUCCAACGAAAAUCAGUGCUGUCCUUCAGAAUUUGAGUAAGUGGUUUAGCCACUUUAACGAAAUCUGGAAUAAAUCUCCUAUAGCAACCUACGAGCCCCAAAAAUUGUUUAACAUUUUUCUUUCCGCUUGGAAUAGAAAAAUUCUUUACAGCUUCUACUUUUCGAGGAUCUGGUUUCACCCCUUCUUGGGUGAUGAUAUGUCCCAAAUAUGCUAUUCCUUUUUUUAAGAAAUAACACUUUUUAGGGUUCAAAGAUAAUCCUGAUAUUCUUAAAUGACCUAAAAGAGCUUUUAAUUUUUGACUGUGAUCAAUAAGUGAUGAGGCAUAGAUGACAAUGCCAUCUAUAUAAACAAAUAGAUCAGUUACUUGUAAACCAGUAAGAACUUGAUCCGUUACCCUUUGAAGGGUAGCAGGGACAUUUUUAAGUUCAAAUGGCAUUCUAUUGAACUCGAAAUGAGCGAAUGGAGCAGAAAAAGCAGUUUUUGCUUUGGAUUCGGGAACCAUGGGUAUUUGAUGGAAACCUGAUGCUAAAUCCAUAACAGAGGAAUAUUUAGCUCCUAAUAAUUGAUCUAAUAUCUCUGUUAUUUGCGGUAAAGGGUAAGAAACACUAAUGGUUUUUUCGUUCAAUUUACGAUAAUAAACCACCAUUCUCCAUUGUUUAUUACCAUGAAGAUCUGGUUUUUUGGGAACGACCAAAACAGGAGAAUUAUAUGGGAAUACUGAUGGUCGACUUAUUCCAUCCCGAAGAUAUUCUUUAGUUUUUUCCAUAAUAACUUUUUUAUGAAUAGGUGGAUGACGAUAAUUUCUUAUGCUUACCGGUUUAUUAUCAGAAGUGACAAUUUUAUGGACAACAACCUUAGAUGAUCCCAAUUUGUCAUUAUGAAGAUGAAAUUGCUGAGAAUAAUAAAAAAUUAUUGGGAAGAGACUUUCUUUCUCUUCAUCAUUUAAAUUAGAGAGAUUUACAAUUUUCAAAAUUUCAGCAAAUCUAGAAGCCUGUUUUCUUCAUCAGCAGAAAGUUUACGAUGCUCAGAAUCAUUUUCAAAAUAUUCUUCAAGCUCAACUGGUGGUAUUGUUAAAUAUAUUUGCUGAUUAUUGGAAUUUAUAAAGAAGAUUUUACCAGUUCCGUUUUCAUUAAAAAUCAAAGACUUUGUUCUUGCAGGUAAACAAAUUGUCUUAUGAGAGACAAACGGAAAAUUAAUAUUUUCUAUUUGAAGACAGUUACUUUCAAACUUAACAAUAGCGUUGUGUUUUUUGAAGAAAGGAAUACCAAGGAUACCUUCUUGUGGAAUGGGAAAUAAUUCUGACACAAUGUGGAAAGAAGCUUCGAGACUAUUCGCGAAAUUUUCUCGGGUCCAGAAAUGAGAUUUAACGGUAAUAAAGGAACAGACGGGGAGUCCCGGACCUGAGUCUCAUGUCUUUGCAAAUCAUUCCAACUCUUGCCAAUUUGAUCUGAACUCAAAGAAUUUGUCCUAUGACUAUCAGAAGGAUUUUCGCUUACUACUAACCUAGAUCUCAAUUCUUGAGUUACUAUAGCAGGAAGAUUGUCUAAAUUCCUUGAGUGUCCUUGAUCCUUCAGAAAUUUCCUUCAAAUAGUUGUUACUGAUUUCUCUACUGUUGAUCUCACGGUGCCAUACCCUUUUCCGUUUCGGGCAGAUUCAAAAGAUGCUGCCUUCUGUCAGUGGAGUAAUCUCUCUUGUGGUAAGACGAACGGCCUUAAAUUUCAAUCAGUGAGUCAGUAGUCCAGUGACCCAGUUUUUCUUCAAUUUAUUUGAUUUAUUCCUUUAUGGUGCAACAUAUCCCACCGCUGUCACCAAUUGUAAUGCCCAAAUUUCACCUAGCUUUUCUGUCGACAAUUCACUGCUCUCUGAUUGGACAUGUGAACGGGAUCAUUAUUGCCGUUGAUUCGUUGAAACGAAAACCAUUUAAAGGAACUUAUUUGAAAUAAAAAAAAAGGAUUUAACAGUU